AACGAACGCUGGCGGCAUGCCUAACACAUGCAAGUCGAACGAGACCUUCGGGUCUAGUGGCGCACGGGUGCGUAACGCGUGGGAACCUGCCCUUAGGUUCGGAAUAACUCCCCGAAAGGGGUGCUAAUACCGGAUAAUGUCUUCGGACCAAAGAUUUAUCGCCUUUGGAUGGGCCCGCGUUGGAUUAGCUAGUUGGUAGGGUAAAAGCCUGCCAAGGCGACGAUCCAUAGCUGGUCUGAGAGGAUGAUCAGCCACACUGGGACUGAGACACGGCCCAGACUCCUACGGGAGGCAGCAGUGGGGAAUAUUGGACAAUGGGCGAAGGCCUGAUCCAGCAAUGCCGCGUGAGUGAUGAAGGCCUUAGGGUUGUAAAGCUCUUUUACCCGGGAUGAUAAUGACAGUACCGGGAGAAUAAGCUCCGGCUAACUCCGUG
rnacentral:rRNA from 1 species